rnacentral:rRNA from 1 species
UACGAAGGGGGCUAGCGUUGUUCGGAAUUACUGGGCGUAAAACGCACGUAGGCGGAUAUUUAAGUCAGGGGUGAAAUCCCAGAGCUCAACUCUGGAACUGCCUUUGAUACUGGGUAUCUUGAGUAUGGAAGAGGUAAGUGGAAUUCCGAGUGUAGAGGUGAAAUUCGUAGAUAUUCGGAGGAACACCAGUGGCGAAGGCGGCUUACUGGUCCAUUACUGACGCUGAGGUGCGAAAGCGUGGGGAGCAAACAGG